rnacentral:lncRNA from 1 species
CUAGUCUUUUUUUUGUAUAGAAUAAUGUUUUCUCGUCCAUAUUUUCAACACGAUGAUCGUGAAGAUAGCCGCCAAAUAAGAAUAAUGGGAAGGAAAAGACAAAAGAACAGAUUUCAAGGAAAAUAUGCAUUCAAAGAUAAAGGUUCACAUGCUCCAGUAGAUGAAGAUGGUGAUACAGAUAUGAGCAGUUUGGAUAGACCUUCCCAUUCUCGCUACAAACCUUAUAAAGCUCGUUCAAGAUUUGGAAAAAGGCAUGGAAGAGGUAAAAAUAUUUUAUAUAAAAUAUUAUUAUUUUAGCACUUUGAAGACC